AGUUAAUGGGCUCAUUCCUGUUGUGCAGUGAUAUUUGAGCUCUUUCACAUCGCUGUUUUAUGUUUGCGUUGCUUUACAGUGAAAACCUAUUCCACUUCCUGAUGGUUGAUGGCAUUAUGGACCUUUUUGUUAGUUGCAUACUCUCAAACUCUUACUUAAUUGUGUUCAAAAUAUGAUUUUUGUGUUGUUGUUUUUAUACCUAAUAUUGUGUAACUUUACAUGAUCAAAUGUGUGAAUAUUGCAAUAUAUUUUCAGUUAAAUUUUAUUUAUAUAUAUAUAUAACUAACUACAGGAACAUAAAGUACUGCAUAGUUGAAUUGGGCAAUAAUACAUUUUAAUAUAAAAAAGUCAGUCAUUCCAUUUAUUAUUGAUUUAAAUGGGUCUGAAUUAAGAGUAAGGAAAUGUAUUUAUUUUUUUAGUAUAUUUUACACGUGCAAAAAAAGCAAACGGUGUUAAAUACAACACAGUAAAUUUGGAUUGUUUUGUGUUAGUUUUUUUAGUUGUUUUUUUUUACAUUUUAAAUUUCCCGCCACUAAACCAACGGUUCCGAGGACAGCGGCGGGAAUCACCUCAGAAUGGCGGAGAUAAGAAAUGGCAAUUAUCUCUGUAAAAAGUGGCCUAUUCUUAUUUCGCAUACAAACCUGAACGAAAUUGAACGUGAUUUAGGUAAUUUGGCGUCGAAAUCUGCGUUUGGGUGGAUGCGAAGGACGUCGAUUCGAUCAACUCCGUCUCGUUGAUGACGUCCUCGUUAUGAGCACAGUCACCGAAGUGCAGCAGGAAAUACGUAGGACAGCUUCGAGACCUUCACUCCUCGUUAGUAUAGUGAUUUCCGCUCAAUGAACCGAUGAUGGCGAAGUCUCCAGCAAAAAAAAAAAAACAAAACUUGUGCCCCGUGUGAGGCUCGAACUCACGACCUUCAGAUUAUGAGACUGACGCGCUGCCUACUGCGCCAACGAGGCCUGAGGAGCCGAGCUGCCUAACCUGGUCAUGUUCCCGCAGUCUGUGAGUCUCAGCUCCCUCCUUCAUUAUCAACGUUUGAUUAUAUCUGUCAUGAUCCCAAAAGACGGAAGAAACACAAAAAAAGGACUGAGGAUCGGUUCAACCUCAGCCACUAGAGGGAGCCAAAGCGAACAGCCACGUGCAUCAAUUACAUUCAAAACUGUGUAUUUCAAAUAUUAAAUGCAUAUGGGAAAAAAAUGCAUUCAAAACACAUGUUGUAAAUAACAUAUUGAAAAAAGGUUAAUUUAAAAGGCAUAAAAGAUUACUGGUCUUAGUACAUCUUGUACAUUAUCUCAAUAUUUAGAUUUUUUUGCGCAUAAAACAACAUGCGAAAUCGAAAUAUGCAUGUAUUAAAUGACCGUAUAUUUCAAAUGGAUGCAGUGAAUCUAGAGCAAGUCAAGAUUUACACUAAAGAAGGAUAAAUUCAAACUCUCCGAAAUGUACAGAUUAAAAUGUAUUCAUAUGUAAAAAGAGUGCAUUUGAAACGGAAAUAUUAAA